GGUUGGGUGUGUAAGCGCUGUGAGGCGUUGAGCUAACCAAUACUAAUUGCCCGUGAGGCUUGACCAUAUAACACCCAAGCAAUU
rnacentral:rRNA from 2 species